rnacentral:rRNA from 1 species
GAUGAACGCUGGCGGCGUGCUUAACACAUGCAAGUCGAACGGUGAAGGAGGAGCUUGCUCUUCUGGAUCAGUGGCGAACGGGUGAGUAACACGUGAGCAAUCUGCCCUUGACUCUGGGAUAACAGUUGGAAACAGCUGCUAAUACCGGAUACGAGACGUGACCGCAUGGUCAACGUCUGGAAAGAACUUCGGUCAAGGAUGAGCUCACGGCCUAUCAGCUAGUUGGUGAGGUAAUGGCUCACCAAGGCGACGACGGGUAGCCGGCCUGAGAGGGUGACCGGCCACACUGGGACUGAGACACGGCCCAGACUCCUACGGGAGGCAGCAGUGGGGAAUAUUGCACAAUGGGCGAAAGCCUGAUGCAGCAACGCCGCGUGAGGGACGACGGCCUCGG